UGGGGAAUAUUGCACAAUGGGGGAAACCCUGAUGCAGCGACGCCGCGUGAGUGAGGAAGUAUUUCGGUAUGUAAAGCUCUAUCAGCAGGGAAGAAAAUGACGGUACCUGACUAAGAAGCCCCGGCUAACUACGUGCCAGCAGCCGCGGUAAUACGUAGGGGGCAAGCGUUAUCCGGAUUUACUGGGUGUAAAGGGAGCGUAGACGGCAGAGCAAGUCAGAAGUGAAAGCCCGCGGCUCAACUGCGGGACUGCUUUUGAAACUGCCCUGCUGGAGUGCAGGAGAGGUAAGCGGAAUUCCUGGUGUAGCGGUGAAAUGCGUAGAUAUCAGGAGGAACACCAGUGGCGAAGGCGGCUUACUGGACUGUAACUGACGUUGAGGCUCGAAAGCGUGGGGAGCAAACAGG
rnacentral:rRNA from 1 species